UCUUCUCUUCGUCUCCCCCCUAGUCUCUCUCUCCAUCGUAUGUUCACCUUCCCGCGCCGUCGCCCUCGCCCUCGCCGUCGCCAUCGCCGUCGCCCUUCCUCCCGCUGUCCCUCCUCGCCUCCAGUUCGUGUCGGCCGGUCACCUCCUCCCUCGCCGUAGAAGAUGCUGGAGGCAUACAGAGCGAGCUCGGUCGACUGGAAGCCGACGCCGGUCGUGGCCCUAGCCACCAGCGCCGACGACUCCCAGGUCGCGGCGGCCCGCGAGGAUGGCUCGCUCGAGAUUUGGCUCGUCUCCCCCGGCUCCGUCGGGUGGCACCGCCAGAUGACUAUUCAUGGAGAUUCGAAUUCGAGAGUGUCGUCGCUGGUGUGGUGCCGGACCGGCUCGAGAGGCUCGUCUAGCGGACGCCUGUUUUCGUCCGGCAUCGAUGGUUCGGUCUCCGAGUGGGAUCUAUUCGACUUGAAGCAGAAGACUGUUAUAGAUUCAAUUGGAGUCGCAAUAUGGCAAAUGGCUGUGUCUCCGUAUGAUGAUAAGGAACCCAAGCCACAAAAGAUGGAAAAUGGGUAUGUAGAUGAAAGACUGGAUAAUGGCAUGGAUGAUGACGAUGGUGAAGUUGAGGAUGAUUCUGAAUCUGUCGAGCUUCAUGCCGCACCAUACACGGAAGAUGUGUGUAUAGCCCUAGGCUGUGAUGAUGGCUGCGUGCGGUUAUACACAUUUUCUGAGUUGGAAGAUUUGGUAUACAAAAAAUCUCUGCCUAGGGUCAGCGGGCGAAUUUUAAGCGUCACAUGGAGUCCUACUGCAAAUAUGAUAUAUUCAGGAAGUAGUGAUGGAUUUAUAAGAUGCUGGGAUGCUCUUUCAUCUCGCGAGAUCUAUAGGAUUACAGUAGGCCUUGGAGGUUUGGGCAGUGGACCAGAACUUUGUGUGUGGUCAUUGCUUGCACUGAGGUCAGGAACACUUGUUAGUGCUGAUAGUACUGGCAGUGUUCAGUUCUGGGACAGUGAACAUGGAACACUUUUACAGGCGCAUUCUUAUCAUAAAGGUGAUGUGAAUGCUCUCGCAGUAUCUCCUAACCAUAACAGAGUGUUUUCUGCAGGAUCUGAUGGUCAGGUUAUCCUUUAUAAGCUUUCCAAUGAGACAUUGUAUGGUGAUGACAAGAUUUCUCACAAAGAGAUGAAGAAAUGGGUCUACAUUGGUUAUGUGAGAGCUCAUACGCAUGAUGUUCGGUCAUUGACGGUUGCAGUACCAGUAAGCCGGGAAGAUUCCCUGCCAGAUGAAAAAGUUAAAAGAGUUCGUCGCAGGAAGAAACCUGUUGAUUUUAGUUACAGUAAAUGGGCUCAUACGGGAGUUCCCAUGCUCAUCUCAGCUGGCGAUGACACAAAGCUCUUCGCCUACUCUGUUCAGGAAUUCACCAAGUUCUCUCCACAUGAUAUUUGUCCAGCCCCUCAGAGGUUGCCCUUUCAACUAGUGCGCUCAGUAUUCGACCAGACUCCUUUACUUCUUGUUCAGGCUCCUUACUGGUUAGAUAUUCUCUCUGUACGGACCAAGAGUGGUACCUUUCCGAGUAAGGCUUCUGGCCCUUCUGGGGGCUUGGCAGCUACUGGACUACUGGCUCGAGUGAAGAGCAAGGCUUCUCGAAAAAUCAUUUGCAGUGCUCUUUCUUCUUCGGGGGAGCUUUUUGCCUAUUCAGACCAUGUGAAGCCAAAUCUUUUUGAACUGAAGAGGCAUGAGGAUGGUAAAAUUUCAUGGACUGUGGCUAAAAAGCAACUUCCUCAGAGAUUACCAUUUGUUCACUCUAUGGUGUUUAGUGCCGACUCUAAUCGGUUAAUAAUGGCUGGACACGACCGAAAAAUUUAUGUUGUGGAUGUCAGAAGUUCUGAAUUGCUAUAUACCUUCACACCAUCUCGUGAGGAGCCUUCCGACGAAUUAUCUCCUGAUGAGCCACCAAUAACAAAAAUGUUUACCAGCUCUGAUGGGCAGUGGUUAGCUGCUAUUAAUUGUUUUGGAGAUGUAUAUGUGUAUAAUCUUGAAUUACAAAGGCAGCACUGGUUCAUAUCUAGACUGGAUGGUGCCUCUGUUACUGCUGGUGGAUUUCCUCCUUUGAAUAGUAAUGUGCUUGUAUUCACCACAUCCUCAAAUCAGGUGUAUGUACUUGAUGUGGAGGCCAAACAAUUAGGAGACUGGUCAAUGCGAAACACAUUCUCUUUACCCAAAAGAUUCCAGGAGUUUCCUGGGGAGGUGAUGGGACUUUCUUUUCCACCCUCCUCAUGUUCAUCAUCAGUCAUUAUAUAUAGUGCCAGGGCAAUGUGCAUCAUUGACUUUGGACUGCCUGUGGACCGGGAGGAUGAUGCAGAGUUGAUGAAUGGUCGGGAUUCGACAUUGAGGAAGUUACAUUAUACGCCUGUAAAUGGGAAACUGAAGCGUAGUUUACAAGCGUACGAAUUAGAUACAAAACAAAAUAGUAGAAAGAAUUUUGAAUUUUUUGCUUUCAGAGAUCCUCUUUUGUUUGUUGGGCAUCUUUCGAAGAAUUCCAUCUUGGUUAUAGACAAACCCUGGAUGGAAGUUGUUAAAAUGUUAGAAGCUGCACCUGUCCACAGACAUAUCUUCGGGUCAUGACUGCUUUUGCCAAGAUGGUUUUUAUGCAGCCUAGGAAGGAGAAUUGGGUCAACAGUCAGUCCCUUAGCAGUGGUUACUGUAAGAGAGGGAUUUCAGGGGUUUGUAGAUAAAGCUUUUGAGAAGAGAUGCCAGAGAUUGGAGGAAGCCAGAGGUGUUACAGUGGGCUCAUGUUCUCGCCAGAUCAUCAAAAGGUUAAGAGGCAUCUAUAGAUAGCAUGAUAGCUUCUCUAUCCGAUUGGAGAAUUUCUUAUCCUUUGGUAGUCGAAACCUCGUGGCAAUCAUUAGUGGCUAAUUGUAACUGUUACGCACAUGAACUUGCUCGAGUAUGUUCACCCCUGAAUCCUGGUACGGUGAGGUGUUGUGUAAUGACUGGUUGGUUGCAGCUGGAGUCACUAGAUAACAAUCUCUAAUUAAUGA